AUACGGAGGGUGCAAGCGUUACUCGGAAUCACUGGGCGUAAAGCGCGCGCAGGCGGUCUUUUAAGUUGGAUGUGAAAGCCUACGGCUCAACCGUAGAACUGCAUCCAAAACUAUUAGACUAGAGUGUGGGAGAGGAAGAUGGAAUUAGUUGUGUAGGGGUAAAAUCCGUAGAGAUAACUAGGAAUACCAACAGCGAAGGCAACCUUCUGGAACACUACUGACGCUGAGGCGCGAAAGCGUGGGGAGCAAACAGGAUUAGAAACCCCAGUAGUCC
rnacentral:rRNA from 1 species